CACGUAGGGGGCGAGCGUUGUCCGGAUUUAUUGGGCGUAAAGGGCUCGUAGGCGGCUCAGUAAGUCGGGUGUGAAACCUCCAGGCUCAACCUGGAGACGCCACUCGAUACUGCUGUGGCUAGAGUCCGGUAGGGGAGCAUGGAAUUCCUGGUGUAGCGGUGAAAUGCGUAGAUAUCAGGAGGAAUACCGGUGGCGAAAGCGACUCUCUGGACGGCAACUGACGCUGAGGCACGAAAGCGUGGGGAGCAAACAGG
rnacentral:rRNA from 1 species